UACGUAGGGGGCAAGCGUUGUCCGGAUUUACUGGGCGUAAAGAGCGCGUAGGCGGAAGGUGAAGCGUGGCCUGAAAGCCCCCGGCUCAACCGGGGAAGGCGGCUGCGAACUGGCCUUCUUGAGGGCGAUAGAGGGGGGCGGAAUUCCGGGUGUAGUGGUGAAAUGCGUAGAGAUCCGGAGGAACCCCAGAGGCGAAGGCGGCGCUCUGGCUCGCAACUGACGCUCAGACACGACAGCAUGGGGAGCGAACGGG
rnacentral:rRNA from 1 species